rnacentral:piRNA from 1 species
UGUGGAACAGGUAUGACAGAUACUCACGCA